rnacentral:miRNA from 1 species
CGGACCCUCUAACAGUGGAGG